UACGUAGGGGUCUAGCGUUGUCCGGAAUCAUUGGGCGUAAAGAGCUCGUAGGCGGCCUGUCGCGUCGGAUGUGAAAGCCCGGGGCUUAACCCCGGGUCUGCAUUCGAUACGGGCAGGCUGGAGUUCGGUAGGGGAGAUCGGAAUUCCUGGUGCAGCGGUGAAAUGCGCAGAUAUCAGGAGGAACACCGGUGGCGUAGGCGGAUCUCUGGGCCGAUACUGACGCUGAGGAGCGAAAGCGUGGGGAGCGAACAGG
rnacentral:rRNA from 1 species